UGAAAUAACAUGUGAAGUUGUAUCCCCGUAGCAUAGACACAUGAAAAACAUUAUGAAUUCUAUCAAGCUUUGGCGGUAAUGCUAAUCGAUACGCAACCGGUCCAAUCCAUUCUAUCACUUCAUAUGGCCUGAUGAACCGUGGACUCAAUUUACCUUUACGACCAAAUCGGAGAACUUUCUUCGAAGGUGAUACUUUUAGGAAUACUUUAUCGC
rnacentral:lncRNA from 1 species